rnacentral:rRNA from 1 species
AUACGUAGGGGGCGAGCGUUGUCCGGAAUGAUUGGGCGUAAAGGGCGCGUAGGCGGCCUGUUAAGUCUGGAGUGAAAGUCCUGUUUUCAAGAUGGGAAUUGCUUUGGAUACUGAUGGGCUUGAGUGCAGGAGAGGUUAUCGGAAUUCCCGGUGUAGCGGUGAAAUGCGUAGAGAUCGGGAGGAACACCAGUGGCGAAGGCGGGUAACUGGACUGCAACUGCCGCUGAGGCGCGAAAGUGUGGGGAGCAAACAGGAUUAGAUACCCUGGUAGUCCACACUGUAAACGAUGAAUGCUAGGUGUAAGAGGUCUCGACCCCUUUUGUGCCGGAGGUAACACAAUAAGCAUUCCGCCUGGGGAGUACGGCCGCAAGGUUGAAACUCAAAGGAAUUGACGGGG